rnacentral:rRNA from 1 species
GAUGAACGCUAGCGGCAGGCCUAAUACAUGCAAGUCGAACGAGAUUACGAGGCUUGCUUCUUAUGAAAGUGGCGCACGGGUGCGUAACGCGUAUGCAACCUACCUUAAUCAGGGGGAUAGCCCGAAGAAAUUCGGAUUAAGACCGCAUAAAAACACAGGAUAGCAUUAUCCAAUGUUCAAAUAUUUAUAGGAUUAAGAUGGGCAUGCGUGUCAUUAGCUAGUUGGCGGGGUAACGGCCCACCAAGGCGACGAUGACUAGGGGAUCUGAGAGGAUGACCCCCCACACGGGUACUGAGACACGGACCAGACUCCUACGGGAGGCAGCAGUAAGGAAUAUUGGUCAAUGGAGGGAACUCUGAACCAGCCAUGCCGCGUGCAGGAAGACAGCCCUCGGGGUCGUAAACUGCUUUUAUUCGGGAAUAAACCUUUCUACGUGUAGGAAGCUGAAUGUACCGAAGGAAUAAGGAUCGGCUAACUCCGUG